rnacentral:rRNA from 1 species
CAUGCAGUCGAACGAUGAAGGAAGAAGCUUGCUUCUUUUGGAUUAGUGGCGAACGGGUGAGUAACACGUGAGCAAUCUGCCCUUGACUCUGGGAUAAGCGUUGGAAACGACGUCUAAUACCGGAUACGACCCUCGGAGGCAUCUCCUGGGGGUGGAAAGAAUUUUGGUCAAGGAUGAGCUCGCGGCCUAUCAGCUAGUUGGUGAGGUAAUGGCUCACCAAGGCGACGACGGGUAGCCGGCCUGAGAGGGUGACCGGCCACACUGGGACUGAGACACGGCCCAGACUCCUACGGGAGGCAGCAGUGGGGAAUAUUGCACAAUGGGCGAAAGCCUGAUGCAGCAACGCCGCGUGAGGGAUGACGGCCUUCGGGUUGUAAACCUCUUUUAGUAGGGAAGAAGCGAAAGUGACGGUACCUGCAGAAAAAGCACCGGCUAACUACGUGCCAGCAGCCGCGGUAAUACGUAGGGUGCAAGCGUUGUCCGGAAUUAUUGGGCGUAAAGAGCUCGUAGGCGGUUUGUCGCGUCUGCUGUGAAAUCUGGGGGCUCAACCCCCAGCCUGCAGUGGGUACGGGCAGACUAGAGUGCGGUAGGGGAGAUUGGAAUUCCUGGUGUAGCGGUGGAAUGCGCAGAUAUCGGGAGGAACACCGAUGGCGAAGGCAGAUCUCUGGGCCGUAACUGACGCUGAGGAGCGAAAGCAUGGGGAGCGAACAGGAUUAGAUACCCUGGUAGUCCAUGCCGUAAACGUUGGGA